rnacentral:lncRNA from 1 species
CUUCAUAUAUUUCUUUUUUUUUACAUUUUAAGUUUUUUUUUCGUAUAGAUUAUUGCAAUUUAUCCAAGUACUUUCUAAUUAUGCACUAUUUACUCUUUUAAUAUUAACCAUUGUUGUAUAAAAUUUUAUAAUUUAUUUUAUUGGUCAUUAAAAUUCAAGAUGAAUAAAUAAAUAAGUAAAUAUUAAAAACAAAAAAUUUUCUUAAAAAAUAACAUAUUUUUUUUGUUAUUUUACCAUUUU